rnacentral:rRNA from 1 species
AACGAACGCUGGCGGCAGGCCUAACACAUGCAAGUCGAACGCCCGUAGCAAUACGGGAGUGGCAGACGGGUGAGUAACGCGUGGGAACGUGCCCUUCGGUUCGGAAUAACUCAGGGAAACUUGAGCUAAUACCGGAUACGUCCGUAAGGAGAAAGAUUUAUCGCCGAAGGAUCGGCCCGCGUCGGAUUAGCUAGUUGGUGAGGUAACGGCCCA